GUGGGGAAUAUUGGACAAUGGGCGCAAGCCUGAUCCAGCCAUGCCGCGUGUGUGAAGAAGGCCUUCGGGUUGUAAAGCACUUUUGGCAGGAAAGAAAUAGUGCGUGCUAAUACCAUGCGCGAAUGACGGUACCUGCAGAAUAAGCACCGGCUAACUACGUGCCAGCAGCCGCGGUAAGACGUAGGGUGCAAGCGUUAAUCGGAAUUACUGGGCGUAAAGCGUGCGCAGGCGGUUUUGUAAGACAGGUGUGAAAUCCCCGGGCUCAACCUGGGAACUGCACUUGUGACUGCAAGGCUAGAGUGUGUCAGAGGGAGGUGGAAUUCCGCGUGUAGCAGUGAAAUGCGUAGAGAUGCGGAGGAACACCGAUGGCGAAGGCAGCCUCCUGGGAUAACACUGACGCUCAGGCACGAAAGCGUGGGGAGCAAACAGGAUUAGAAACCCGGGUAGUCC
rnacentral:rRNA from 1 species